rnacentral:rRNA from 1 species
UUGGCGGACGGGUGAGAAACGCGUAGGAAUGUAUCCAGAGGUGGGGGACAACCCCGGGAAACUGGGGCUAAUACCGCAUAUGUCCUGAGGGACAAAGCAGUAAUGCGCCUUUGGAGCAGCCUGCGUCCGAUUAGGUAGUUGGUGGGGUAAAGGCCUACCAAGCCUGCGAUCGGUAGCUGGUCUGAGAGGACGAUCAGCCACACUGGGACUGAGACACGGCCCAGACUCCUACGGGAGGCAGCAGUGGGGAAUAUUGGACAAUGGGCGAAAGCCUGAUCCAGCAAUGCCGCGUGUGUGAAGAAGGUCUUCGGAUCGUAAAGCACUUUCGACAGGGACGAUGAUGACGGUACCUGUAGAAGAAGCCCCGGCCAACUUCGUGCCAGCAGCCGCGGUAAU